AGCUCGAACGAGAUAUAGGAGCAAUCCCUGAGUAAAGUGGCGCACGGGUGAGUAACACGUGACUAACCUACCCUGGAGUGGGGGAUAACUGAGGGAAACCUUAGCUAAUACCGCAUAAUACCCACGGGUCAAAGGAGCAAUUCGCUCCAGGAGGGGGUCGCGGCCGAUUAGUUAGUUGGCGGGGUAACGGCCCACCAAGACGAUGAUCGGUAUCCGGCCUGAGAGGGCGCACGGACACACUGGAACUGAAACACGGUCCAGACUCCUACGGGAGGCAGCAGUGGGGAAUUUUGCGCAAUGGGGGAAACCCUGACGCAGCAACGCCGCGUGGAGGAUGAAGUCCUUCGGGACGUAAACUCCUUUCGAUCGGGACGAUUAUGACGGUACCGGAAGAAGAAGCCCCGGCUAACUUCGUGCCAGCAGCCGCGGUAAUACGAGGGGGGCGAGCGUUGUUCGGAAUUAUUGGGCGUAAAGGGUGCGUAGGCGGUUUGGUAAGUCUUGUGUGAAAUCUACAGGCUCAACUUGUAGGCUGCACGAGAAACUGCCGGGCUUGAGUGUGGGAGAGGUGAGUGGAAUUUCCGGUGUAGCGGUGAAAUGCGUAGAUAUCGGAAGGAACACCUGUGGCGAAAGCGGCUCACUGGACCACAACUGACGCUGAUGCACGAAAGCUAGGGGAGCAAACAGGAUUAGAUACCCUGGUAGUCCUAGCCCUAAACGAUGACUGCUUGGUGUGACGGGUACCCAAUCCCGCCGUGCCCUAUCUAACGCGUUAAGCAGUCCGCCUGGGGAGUACGGGUCGCAA
rnacentral:rRNA from 1 species